rnacentral:rRNA from 2 species
UGGGCCUAAAGCAUCCGUAGCCGGCUGUUCAAGUUUCCGGUUAAAUCCACACGCUUAACGUAUGGGCCGCCGGAAAUACUGUUCAGCUAGGGAGUGGGAGAGGUGGACGGUACUCGGUAGGAAGGGGUAAAAUCCUUUGAUCUAUUGAUGACCACCUGUGGCGAAGGCGGUCCACCAGAACACGUUCGACGGUGAGGGAUGAAAGCUGGGGGAGCAAACCGGAUUAGAUACCCGGGUAGUCCCAGCUGUAAACGAUGCAGACUCGGUGAUGCAUUGGCUUGUGGCCAGUGCAGUGCCGCAGGGAAGCCGUUAAGUUUGCCGCCUGGGAAGUACGUACGCAAGUAUGAAACUUAAAGGAAUUGGCGGGGGAGCACAA